GGUUAAGCGACUAAGCGUACACGGUGGAUGCCCUGGCAGUCAGAGGCGAUGAAGGGCGUGCUAAUCUGCGAUAAGCGCCGGUAAGGUGAUAUGAACCGUUAUAACCGGCGAUACCCGAAUGGGGAAACCCAGUGUGAUUCGUCACACUAUCAUUAACUGAAUCCAUAGGUUAAUGAGGCGAACCGGGGGAACUGAAACAUCUAAGUACCCCGAGGAAAAGAAAUCAACCGAGAUUCCCCCAGUAGCGGCGAGCGAACGGGGAGGAGCCCAGAGCCUGAAUCAGCAUGUGUGUUAGUGGAAGCGUCUGGAAAGGCGCGCGAUACAGGGUGACAGCCCCGUACACAAAAGCGCAUGUGCUGUGAGCUCGAUGAGUAGGGCGGGACACGUGGUAUCCUGUCUGAAUAUGGGGGGACCAUCCUCCAAGGCUAAAUACUCCUGACUGACCGAUAGUGAACCAGUACCGUGAGGGAAAGGCGAAAAGAACCCCGGCGAGGGGAGUGAAAAAGAACCUGAAACCGUGUACGUACAAGCAGUGGGAGCACAGGUUUACCUGUGUGACUGCGUACCUUUUGUAUAAUGGGUCAGCGACUUAUAUUCUGUAGCAAGGUUAACCGUAUAGGGGAGCCGAAGGGAAACCGAGUCUUAACCGGGCGUUAAGUUGCAGGGUAUAGACCCGAAACCCGGUGAUCUAGCCAUGGGCAGGUUGAAGGUUGGGUAACACUAACUGGAGGACCGAACCGACUAAUGUUGAAAAAUUAGCGGAUGACCUGUGGCUGGGGGUGAAAGGCCAAUCAAACCGGGAGAUAGCUGGUUCUCCCCGAAAGCUAUUUAGGUAGCGCCUCGUGAAUUCAUCUCCGGGGGUAGAGCACUGUUUCGGCUAGGGGGCCAUCCCGGCUUACCAACCCGAUGCAAACUGCGAAUACCGGAGAAUGUUAUCACGGGAGACACACGGCGGGUGCUAACGUCCGUCGUGAAGAGGGAAACAACCCAGACCGCCAGCUAAGGUCCCAAAGUCAUGGUUAAGUGGGAAACGAUGUGGGAAGGCCCAGACAGCCAGGAUGUUGGCUUAGAAGCAGCCAUCAUUUAAAGAAAGCGUAAUAGCUCACUGGUCGAGUCGGCCUGCGCGGAAGAUGUAACGGGGCUAAACCAUGCACCGAAGCUGCGGCAGCGAACGUAUCACUUAAAGCGAUUCAGCGGGUUACGAUUGACGGAGCGAAGCGACGUCAAAGCGUAUACAAAGUCGAGUCGGUUUAAGGAUACGUUCGUUGGGUAGGGGAGCGUUCUGUAAGCCUGUGAAGGUGUGUCGUGAGGCAUGCUGGAGGUAUCAGAAGUGCGAAUGCUGACAUAAGUAACGAUAAAGCGGGUGAAAAGCCCGCUCGCCGGAAGACCAAGGGUUCCUGUCCAACGUUAAUCGGGGCAGGGUGAGUCGACCCCUAAGGCGAGGCCGAAAGGCGUAGUCGAUGGGAAACGGGUUAAUAUUCCCGUACUUGGUGUUACUGCGAAGGGGGGACGGAGAAGGCUAUGUUGGCCGGGCGACGGUUGUCCCGGUUUAAGCGUGUAGGUGUGUGUUCCAGGUAAAUCCGGUUCACUUUAACACUGAGGCGUGACGACGAGGCACUACGGUGCUGAAGCAACAAAUGCCCUGCUUCCAGGAAAAGCCUCUAAGCAUCAGGUAACAUCAAAUCGUACCCCAAACCGACACAGGUGGUCAGGUAGAGAAUACCAAGGCGCUUGAGAGAACUCGGGUGAAGGAACUAGGCAAAAUGGUGCCGUAACUUCGGGAGAAGGCACGCUGACACGUAGGUGAAGUGAUUUACUCAUGGAGCUGAAGUCAGUCGAAGAUACCAGCUGGCUGCAACUGUUUAUUAAAAACACAGCACUGUGCAAACACGAAAGUGGACGUAUACGGUGUGACGCCUGCCCGGUGCCGGAAGGUUAAUUGAUGGGGUCAGCGCAAGCGAAGCUCCUGAUCGAAGCCCCGGUAAACGGCGGCCGUAACUAUAACGGUCCUAAGGUAGCGAAAUUCCUUGUCGGGUAAGUUCCGACCUGCACGAAUGGCGUAAUGAUGGCCAGGCUGUCUCCACCCGAGACUCAGUGAAAUUGAACUCGCUGUGAAGAUGCAGUGUACCCGCGGCAAGACGGAAAGACCCCGUGAACCUUUACUAUAGCUUGACACUGAACAUUGAGCCUUGAUGUGUAGGAUAGGUGGGAGGCUUUGAAGCGUGGACGCCAGUCUGCGUGGAGCCGACCUUGAAAUACCACCCUUUAAUGUUUGAUGUUCUAACGUGGACCCGUGAUCCGGGUUGCGGACAGUGUCUGGUGGGUAGUUUGACUGGGGCGGUCUCCUCCUAAAGAGUAACGGAGGAGCACGAAGGUUGGCUAAUCCUGGUCGGACAUCAGGAGGUUAGUGCAAUGGCAUAAGCCAGCUUGACUGCGAGCGUGACGGCGCGAGCAGGUGCGAAAGCAGGUCAUAGUGAUCCGGUGGUUCUGAAUGGAAGGGCCAUCGCUCAACGGAUAAAAGGUACUCCGGGGAUAACAGGCUGAUACCGCCCAAGAGUUCAUAUCGACGGCGGUGUUUGGCACCUCGAUGUCGGCUCAUCACAUCCUGGGGCUGAAGUAGGUCCCAAGGGUAUGGCUGUUCGCCAUUUAAAGUGGUACGCGAGCUGGGUUUAGAACGUCGUGAGACAGUUCGGUCCCUAUCUGCCGUGGGCGCUGGAGAACUGAGGGGGGCUGCUCCUAGUACGAGAGGACCGGAGUGGACGCAUCACUGGUGUUCGGGUUGUCAUGCCAAUGGCACUGCCCGGUAGCUAAAUGCGGAAGAGAUAAGUGCUGAAAGCAUCUAAGCACGAAACUUGCCCCGAGAUGAGUUCUCCCUGAGACUUAAAGUCUCCUGAAGGAACGUUGAAGACGACGACGUUGAUAGGCCGGGUGUGUAAGCGCAGCGAUGCGUUGAGCUAACCGGUACUAAUGAACCGUGAGGCUUAACCUU
rnacentral:rRNA from 1 species